AAAGAUCGGGUACCUUCAUGGGCCAUGGUAGGAUAACCUCUGUACUCAUUACUGGCACCACCGAAUAGUGAAUGACGUAAGCGAUCGAGGAUUUUAUAUACUUGAACAAUCAUCACCUUACUCUCCUUGCUAGCCAAAAACAAAACAACUCAGGGUCCUCGGUCUUGAUCUGAUGAAACGUCCAACAAAAAUUAUCUCCAUCGAUU
rnacentral:lncRNA from 1 species